rnacentral:rRNA from 1 species
UACGUAGGGCGCAAGCGUUGUCCGGAAUUAUUGGGCGUAAAGAGCUCGUAGGUGGCUUGUCGCGUCUGCCGUGAAAGCCCGUGGCUUAACUACGGGUCUGCGGUGGAUACGGGCAGGCUAGAGGCUGGUAGGGGCAAGCGGAAUUCCUGGUGUAGCGGUGAAAUGCGCAGAUAUCAGGAGGAACACCGGUGGCGAAGGCGGCUUGCUGGGCCAGUUCUGACGCUGAGGAGCGAAAGCGUGGGGAGCGAACAGG